UAUAAGAUGCCUCUCCAACGGUAACGAGCACAAGGGAGAGAUCUGCUGAAUGUCUGAGCUAUGCUGGAUGGGUAAUUAUUGCUGUGGCAGAUGCCGGCACAAGAUGCUUUUAUGUCAUUUUAUUUUUUAUGUUUAUGUUCUGUUAUAAUGAUGAAAAUAAUAAUUACACUCAGCUUAUGUAUUUACAUACCGCUGACUCCUGCCAGGCUCAUGGUUUAUGUUAAUGUUUUGAGAUGAAGUCACUCAGGCUGUAAGUAUGAACAGGUUAAUUGUUUUGUGCUUUUUUCACAGUUGUCAAUCAAAUUUUGGUUAAUUUAUAUUGCACAUUUCAUACAGGAACUUACACAAGCAGUGUAGAUAUUAACAUACUGAAAAAUAAAUAAUAAUAAUAAUAAUUAUGAAAAAUAAAAAGCAACCACAGCUGUCCUGAUAGCAGCCUUUGUAAAGCUGGCUGGUUGCCAGAAACAUAUGCGAAAUCUUCAUCAUCCUCAAAAACUCUGGCCCAAUUGAAAAAUAAUUUUAAAAACUAUUUAAAAAAAAAAAAAAAAAAAAAAAAACAAUAUGCUGUCCUUUUAAGUACUCUAAUCUGUCCAAAGGCUUAAGCUCCGGCAGAUUUGCUUAUUUUGAGAAUUCCCUUUGAAUUACCCUCCCUUUCUGGAAGUGAUGAGACACGAGACAUUAAGAUUGUUUUCUUUUUAAAAAAAGAUUUCAGUCUGGCUGCAGUCUGAGUCAUCUCUCUCUCUCUCUCUCUCUCUCUCUCUCUCGCUCUUUUCUUUUGAAUAAUGUUUGGUAUGCUCGGGGGCAGACUGGUUCUCUGACACAUUUCCUUCUGUGUGGAUAUCGCCCGGCUUGUGCUGCUAAACCUUACCUUAUUGGCUGAAUGGGCUAUUGACCUUCGACCUCCCCGUCACCGCACACUGGGUUUUGAAUCUCUCCUAACUUCAGUGAUACCUCAUUUACACUCACUGCUUCAUUGUGUUUGUCCAAAGAUUUUUUUUUUUAUUACUGUUUUUUUAAAAGGCUAUUUUCUGCCCAGUCAGACGCUCUGUCCGCAUUGGAACAGCUGGUGGUGUCAUUCGCUGCUCAGAACUGUUCUUCUAUCAUUACGCUCUUCUUUCUUUUUCUUUUUGACAUUCCGCUAUCCUCUCUUCUCUACUUAUUCUUCUUUACCUUCUGAUGUUACACGACCCAGACAAAAAAUCUGGGUUGCUCAUCAAUCUCCGCCUCCCUCCUCCCCCCCCAAACUUUUUAAUUUAUGUCCGUAUUCCUGGCAGUGGAUCGUGCUUGUGGGAUGUCACACUUACUGAUCUGAUUCAUGGGUACUGAGCUGUAAAAGCUUCCCCAUGGGCACGUUCCUGCUGUUCACUCAGCAAUACGGCUGACUAGCUUUAGUCAUUCUUCUCCUUCAUAUUGUCCUCUGAAGCCCAUGAGCAGACAGGGU